rnacentral:rRNA from 1 species
GACGAACGCUGGCGGCGUGGAUUAGGCAUGCAAGUCGAACGGUAUCAUCCUUUCGGGGGUGAGAGAGUGGCGAACUGGUGAGUAACACGUAGGUUAUCUACCCUCAAGACGGGGACAACCCAGGGAAACUUGGGCUAAUACCGGAUGUGAGCAACUUUUAGUUGUUUGAAAGGUGGCGUAAGCUGUCGCUUGGGGAUGAGCCUGCGUCCUAUUAGUUAGUUGGUGAGGUAACGGCUCACCUAGGCAAUGAUAGGUAGGCGGCCUUAACGGGUGGUCGCCCACACUGGGAUUGAGAUACGGCCCAGACUCCUACGGGAGGCAGCAGUCGAGAAUAGUCUACAAUGGUCGGAAGACUGAUAGUGCGACGCCGCGUGAACGAUGAAUCCCUUCGGGGUGUAAAGUUCUUUUAUAUGUGAGCAGUGCUUCUUAUAUUAACAGUAUGGGGAGAGAGAUAUUAGCAUAUGAAUAAGCAACGGCUAACUCCGUGCCAGCAGCCCGGUAAACUCGU